UAGGCCAGUGCUUGUUAUGUGAUCAGGAAGUAAUGACUUCGGCUACGGGAACCAGCCGGGGCAAAGGGACGAUGCCUCAUAGGAUUAAGCAUCGGCAGCAGUCGCGCAUAGAACCUCCCUCAGGAGCUGCUGGUCCUACUCCACCAUCACCCAGUCUGUUCUCUGUUCUCACUGCAUGGUUUGGACAGGCCACUAAACAGACUACAACGGAUCAUCAGGUCUGCGGAGAGAAUCAAAGGCUCCAGCCUUCCAUCCUUCCAUCCUGGACUUGUACACCUCCAGAGUCAGGAAGCGCCAGGGAAGAUCACUGCAGACCCGUCACACAACCUGUUCAGACUCCUCCCCUCUGAUAGGCGCUACUGAGCCCUGUAUGUUAAGACCCCCAGACACAGGAACAGCAUCUUCCCUCAGACCGUCUCUCUGAUGAACAACUUAUCUGUCCCCUUCUCCCCAUUUGCACGUCACUCUGCACUAUAACCUGUUAUAUACAUACACAUAUACACACUUUGGGUAUAUUCAUUUAGAUCUCGUUAAACGUUAAAUCCAAUCUUUAUCUUUUUAGGGAGUAAACCCAAGUCAAACAUAUAUCCAUAAAAGCAUACGUGGCCAAAAUUGCCGAUUCAGAUUCUGAAUCAUCAGUAUUUACCAUCCGUCUCAUUCUUCCAGUAUAAAGUACUAAGUUUGGCAGAUGGGACGAUAGUUAGAGGGGAAAAAAUGAAUAGUCUGUUAUAUACACAAUAGCACAUUUAGGUUUUCCCAUUAUUCAGCAUGAAAAAAACCUCAAAUCUGAAUAAUGAAUGUUUUUUUUUAAUGAUAUUGAAUCUAAAUGAUUUUUAAGGGGAUUAUUUUUCUACACAGUACACAACUUUGAAAUUGACAUUAUUUAUCAUACUGUAAAACUUUCAAAGUGAAUUAGUGUUUUUAAUUUGGUGAGUAGUGCGCUAUGACCACUGUUUAUGGUUCCAUGUCAGAGUGAAUUCAGACUGCUAAUGGCAGGCCACGUACAAAGUGUAAGCACUCCACCGACUCAGACACAAAUAGACUUGUAUUAAUGUCAAUUAGUACAACGCUCAUAUCAGCCGUUAACCUGCUCCCUAUUACUUUUCAGAAGUGAAGUAGAGAAGAAGGUGCGCUUCAUUAAUCAAGUCCAUUUAACCUUCCAGUAGGCAUUCCGUAUUCUAAUGCAGUCAAAGAAAAAAAAUGGUGACAAAGAAAAUACAGAAAACAGUUAACAGAGAAGGUGAAAGAAGUAGCUGCAAUCAGGUUUAAGACACAGACUUUGAAUUAGUCAUUAGUUCUAAUUAGUUCACACAAAGUACAGGAAAGUUGUGUCUCAACAUAACAUUUUAUUUUUAUAGCUUUAACCAACGCAUACAAUGUUUGCCAAUGUCAGCCUAAAAAAAAAAGGCGGGCCGGGCCCUCUGGGCUGGGAGUACAAGGCACUGCCCAGAGGUCAAGGAUGUUGCUUUCAUGCUCAUGAGAAAAGGCGGAGAAAAAAAGGAGCGGCGAUGCAUUAUAGGCAACAUCUGUCAUAUUCACAAGACAGCGCUGUAAAGAACUGUAGCAUUUAAUUAUACUUUCUUGUGCAUGAGGGAAUGAAAAGUUGAGAAGUGUAAAUACUGAGCUAUUUCUAAAUUGCAGCAAAUAAGUGAAUAUAUUGGAAAAUUAAAUGGUGUUCCCCACAAGUUCUUGUGGUAGUUUGAUAAUUAAUGAGAAAGCUUGAGCUAUUAAGUUUAGCCUUGAUAAAGGCAACAUAUUAAAGACUAUCGAAUAGAUAGUGAUCAGCAUGAUUUAAUUUAAUUUUUCUUACUUUUUACUCUUAAUUUCAUUCAUUACCCCGGCAUAGACGAUGGCAAACAAUGAUACACAACAAAGGUGUUAGAAUGUAAUUCCUCUUCAGAGUCAAGCAAUUAAAGAAAUCAUUAAUUAUUUUUAUUAUUAUUUAUAUUAUUUUUGGCUGUUAAGACCAUAUCAUUCUUAUUUUACGAGACAUUCAUUCCUCCAUAAAUCCCUGAAAAGUAAUAAUCCCCAAAGUCUCCCUUGGAAAAUCAUUCUUAGUGCAUUUUUCUUUUCUUUUUUUGUGAACACACAUAAAAGUUUUCCAUGCAGGACCCCUAUGUUUUAAUGUUUCAGAUUCCACGUAAAAAAUAAAAAAAAAAGACCUCACCAUGCAGCACAAUAGAGCUGGACUUUAAAUAAGAGGUUAAUCCAUUACAAAUUAGAACCAUCCAAUAGCUUUCCCCAACCGAUCCUUUACGUAAUGCGGCUGGGGUAACACUAACACAGAUUUUCGAAUCGUUCUCAGUGUGAUGUUACAGCCUUGAGCUCUGGCUGGGAAUACAGGAAAUUGUCUUGUAUCUUUUCAUGCUGUAUUUGAGAACAAGAGGUUGCUCUGAUUCACCUCACCGCAUGAGGGAAAAGAGUCGAUAAAAGGCGGAUAAACUGGCUGGAGGACAUGUGAACGAGCAGCAUCCAUCUCUUAAUGAAGACCCACACUGGAACUAGUUUGGAGCAGCAUCUGUAUGCACGGCAUUUUUCCCUCCGUUUCACAGUACAGUGCUUUCCUAGCAGUGUACUGUUGACUUCAAAAGGUAACGUAGUUUGCUGACCUGUAAAUAUAUUAUAGAUCUGCAAUGCACCACAUCUCUUUACUGCACCAGUAAAAGAAGAAAUGAAGCACAACAUAAUCUAAAAUAGGGGCUUUUUACAAAUGUACUUAAGGGGGAAAAAAGCAUCAAUCUUCAUGUAGCCACCUGUAUUGCCUAAUUUGAAGCUAAAGAAAUAUCUGCUACUAGUUAAUGAUAAAUUAUCACUAAGUAUAGCAAAAGGUCAUCAAAUCUUCCAUUAGAGCCUCUUACAAGACUUUCUUGACAUGUUUUUAUCUAGUCUUUUUAACUGUAAAGCUCUGGGUAACAAUGGGUUUCUAAAAGGUUUGACCUUAAGAGUCAUACCUUUGAGUGCAGACAGCUCCGGCGGACCCAAAUUGCUCUCAGUUCAAAGUCUGAUUGGCAUUUCAAAAAAUAGUGCAUCGAUUUGUUCAGGUUAUUUCCCCCUCUGUGACACUCUCCCCGGGCUGUUAUCGCAGCAGGAUGUGGACUUGCGCCUCGGUGGAGGAGCAGGCGGCACCAGCUGGCUCGAGGUAACUGGUUACGACCCACGGGUGAACUGCAGCAGCAGCAGUGGACGGAGGCUGACCAAGGCGUAAAGCUGCUCACUCUUCAUACGUGAGUCCAAGAGGCCUUUCAAAAGACAAGAAUGUGCCAGGAGGCUAAACUAAGCAUAUAAUCCGCACAUGCCGUGUGUCGAAACUUUCAGGGCACCAAUGACGCCAAGCCUACGUAUCUUCACAAGUGCCUGACCGAUGAGACAUCUGCUCUGGCAUUAAGGCCUGGCAUUAACCAGGGAAAAUAACAACCAAGAUCUCUGGAGCCAAGCUGGCCAGAUACAAGGAGCGACCGACAGAAGAA